rnacentral:lncRNA from 1 species
AUGCCUGUUCAGAAAGUGGCCUCCUCCUGCCUUGUGCUGCCUGAGAGAGAAUGGAGUAAGAGCUUUUCUCCCAGCGGCCUGUUUGGAAGUUAUGCCACAGUUGAUGUGGGAAAAGAGAAGAUAUCUGAUUCAAAUCCUACAAGAAGAUUUCCAGGGCUUUUCUUUUUAAAGCUGGACCAAUUCCUGGCAGAGCUCAGUGUGAGAGGAGUUGACAAGCCAUGGUGUGGGAACAUGGACUAUCUUAAGCAGGUGACACUCAGGAUUCCCUAAAGAGAAAAGGAUUAAAAAAAGGAAAACAACUAAGUUUGGAGAGGAAAUACUGUGUCCCUUGCUCCUGGAGAGUGCUAUGAAAUAUAAGUAAUAAAGAGGAGCACUCUCAAGUCUCUUCUGGAGCA